CGCUGUUGUCUUGGAUAAUGCCCGUAGCCUGUGCAUGUGGUACUCAUGCCUAAGAAUCAUCUGCGUCCACGGUGCCCUGCAACAGAAUCACCUGGAGAUAGAAAUGGCAUAACCUGGGUAUCAUCUACGUACCUGUUGGCAGAACCAGACUUCUACUUAAAACAACAAUGAAGGGGCAGAUUUUCAUAGAAAACCAUUGGGUAAGCGAUCUCCAUUCUUCUGUGAAGCUGCAGAGAGAAAGAGAGCAAACCUGGUCGAGAUGUUAUGAAUUUUGAACUGAC